rnacentral:rRNA from 1 species
CGGUGGAGCAUGUGGUUUAAUUCGAAGCAACGCGAAAACCUUACCCACCUUUGACAUGUACGGAAUCCUUUAGAGAUAGAGGAGUGCUCGAAAGAGAGCCGUAACACAGGUGCUGCAUGGCUGUCGUCAGCUCGUGUCGUGAGAUGUUGGGUUAAGUCCCGCAACGAGCGCAACCCUUGUCAUUAGUUGCUACAUUCAGUUGGGCACUCUAAUGAGACUGCCGGUGACAAACCGGAGGAAGGUGGGGAUGACGUCAAGUCCUCAUGGCCCUUAUAGGUGGGGCUACACACGUCAUACAAUGGAUGGUACAAAGGGUCGCCAACCCGCGAGGGGGAGCCAAUCCCAUAAAGCCAUUCGUAGUCCGGAUCGCAGUCUGCAACUCGACUGCGUGAAGUCGGAAUCGCUAGUAAUCGUGGAUCAGAAUGUCACGGUGAAUACGUUCCCGGGUCUU